CAUGAUUGACCUUCUGUUAAGAUCGCGCACGUCAUACGAGCAACACAGAAGUCAGCACAUUCUGUGCA
rnacentral:sRNA from 1 species